GACGAACGCUGGCGGCGUGCUUAACACAUGCAAGUCGAACGGAAAGGCCCUGCUUUUGCGGCGUUCACGAGUGGCGAACGGGGGAGUAACACAUGAGUAACAUGCCCCUGACUUUGGGAUAACUCCUGGAAACAGGGGCUAAUACCGCAUAGGAGCUCUUGCUGCAUAGUGGUGGAUGGUAAGUUUCGGCGGUUGUGGCUAGACUCGCGGGUUAUCCGCUUGUUGGUGGGGUAGUGGCUUACCAAGGCUUUGACGGGUAGCCCGCCUGGGAGGGUGACCGGCCACAUUGGGCCUGAGAGACGGCCCAGAAUCCUACGGGAGGCAGCAGUGGGGAGUAUGACACAACGGGCGCGAGUCUGAGGCAGAGACGCCGGGUGCGGGAUGACGGGCUUCGGGUUGUGAACCGCUUUCGCCUGUGACGAAGAGUGAGUGACGGUAAUGGGUAAGGAAGCACCGGCUAACUACGUG
rnacentral:rRNA from 1 species